rnacentral:tRNA from 1 species
GCGCCCGUAGCUCAGUCUGGAUAGAGCGGGGGAUUUCUAAUCCUCAGGUCGGGGGUUCAAAUCCCUCCGGGCGCACCA